CACAUGUCCCUACCCAUUAAUCAGCGGCGUCCUUUAUCUCGACAUUGAGGCCCACCGUCAUCGCCGCCGCCACAUCUUCCUUCCUCCUCUCGACCUUCAGGCUCCCUGCUUCAAUGGUCACGACGGCGGCGACCCUCCUCGGCUGUCGGAUCCAGCCACGAAGCCCCUUCUCUUACUCUCGUUCAUGGAGGUGACGGCGGGGCCCUUCCUUUGGCUGGUGACGGCUCUUCUCCUUUGCCAGCUCUUUUCCAUGCCUCAAGCCCGUACUCAUGUCGUGGAAUCCAGAUAUGUUUAUUCCAAUAUAAUUUGGUUGUAGCUUGCAGAUCCAGAGACGAUUGAUUAACUUGAUCUUGUUGCAGCUAGAUCUCUUUUAUCUUAACGUAUUUUUGGAUAAUCUAUAGCAUCAUUAUCUAGCUGUCGUGAUCUACUUGGUGCCACAAUCUCCUCAUCUAGAGACGGAACCUCCACUCUUGUUUGCUACCUUGGGCUAUCAACUCUGGCGCCGCUGACAUGAACUAGAUGGAAGGAUCAAUACAGUGAUGCAGCCUCUGCCUUUGUCAAAGCUUAGUUGAUCUGCAUUUUUAUAAGUAAUCUAAAUUGAUCUUGUGCCACUUGAAAUAUCAUCUUAACUUCUCUAUGCUAUGUACACAUACUUUUUGUCUAGAAGUGCAUAAAUACUCGCACAUAUGUACUGUUUUCCAUGCCUAAAUAAAAAUUCUUGAAUACAUACAUACUCUCUAUUCUAAAAUCUCACAAGAAAGUAAUAUAAAUUGAUCUUGUAGUAUUUUUUUA